UUUUUUUUUUUUUUUUUUAGGGCCACACCCAUGGCAUAUGAAAGUUCCCAGGCUACGAGUCGAGUCAGAGCUACAGCUGCCAGCCUCAGCCACAGCAAUGCCAGAUCCGAGCCACGUCUGCAACCUACACCACAGCUCACGGAUCCUUAACCCACUGAGCGAGGCCAGGGAUCAAACCCGCACCCUCAUGGUGACCAGCUGGAUUCAUUUCCGCUGCGCCACAACAGGAACUCCUGAACUUGAUCUUGAGGACCUGCUCUGAACAACUGAAAGUGGCCACCCCAACCACCCUGUGGAAGGAUUAUGAAGCUCAGGCAGGGUUUACUGGGAAGGAAGCAUCUGGCUGGAUUAGGGAUGCCUGCCACAAGCACAGAAAAGGAAGUAAUAUAGCAACAGAUGUCACUAUCUGUCCUCUGUCCGUAGAAACUUCCAGCAGUGCUACUCACACUAUAGUGUUGUGUACAACUCACCUAGGGGUCUUCAGUUAAAGGACAGAUUCUGAAACAGGGGGGCUGGGGCGGGGCCUGAGAUUCCACAUUUGAAUCAUGUUCCAGGAUGGUGAUGCCAACAUGGCCUGUCUAGAGACAUCCCUCUGAACAGCAAGGACCUGGAGCACGGACUCAUUUUUGCCUCACAGGCGGACACAGGAGGAACACCAGCUCCCAGGGAAGGACCCUCAACAAAUGCUGACGAAAGCAAGGGGUUGGGGGGGGGUGCAUGUAGGACUUCCAGCCCUCGGCCGAAAUCAAGAGAGCUCUGAAGACUUCCGGGGAGCUGGCCACCGAAAGCACCGCCCUGGAAUGUUACCAACAAUGCCACACAUCGUAUGACACAUGCUCCCAUCCUCACGACCCUGACGAGCACCUGGGCAAGGGUAAGGGGUCCAAAAUAAAAAGGGAUGUGAUGAAAAUGCAGAGGCUAGAAAUCUGCUGACCAGGACUGGUUCUAACCACGGGGUUAUCACCUGAACUCUAAGCUGUGUGCGAUGACCGGGGAAAUCCACGAAGGAAAGAAAAGAGGGGCAGCCGUGUCCCCAGAGGAGCACCACCGCGCCCCCUGCUGGCCCCCCGCUGUGCUGCAUUAUGACAGCAAGGCUGGCUCUUAGGAAAGCUGCCAAAGGGAGCCUGCACCCGUGUCUGGACCUCAGCACUCUCCUGGUCCAGAAUCCCAGCUAAUUCGAGAAUUGGCAGAUUUCUCUCCCAAAGUCGGACCCAAGUCAGCUCUGCCUCAACGACUGCAGCCAGACCCUGCGGAGUGCAGAUGGUAUCAUCUGGCCGGUGGACGCGGUGUUAAGCAAACAUCCCCCAAACCUGAAGGCCUGGCUCCCAGCACUCAGCCGCCCCGGAAACCAAAGCCUCCCUUCUAACAUGAACAGAGACCCUGCAGCUGGUUUCCAAGUGUAAAAACACAGAACUCACCGGCUUCAUCUGUUAACUGGGGGCGGCUGCGGGGGUGGGGGGGAGGCUGAAAAGCAGCAGGGCCCCUGCAAUACCACCAUGGGGAUGGCUACGUAAGCAUGGGGCUGAGCCUGCAAAAAUCAACAUUUUUUUUUUUUGGCCACCCCUGUGGCAUAUGGAAGUUCCUCGGCCAGGGACUGAAUCUGAGACACAGCUGCGACCUAGGCCAUAGCCAUGGCAGUGCUGGAUCCUUAACCCACUGCACCAGGCUGGGGAGCGAACCCACAUGGCUACAGAGACAAUGCCUGUUCCUUCACCCACUGCGCCACAGUGGAAACUCCAAGUCCAUGUAUUUUUUUUAGCAAUCUACAUACCUACCUAUAGAGGAAGGCUUGCUGCGUUGACAGCUACAGCUUGUUGAGGCUUGGCUGAGCUCUGGUCAUAACCCCUACGCAGCCCCUCAACUCUUCAAACAAUCCAGGAAAGGAUCUGGCACUUUCCUUGCUGCUUCGACCCUGCACCCUGGACCUGAGCUAAGCCAGAUGCCCAAUGCAAACUUUCCAACACACCCAGGGCUGAGCAGGCAAGAUGCUUUUAGAAGAGAGGUAUAAUGAGACUUCAGCCAUCUGUAAUCUCUGACCUCCACCACAGGCGUGGCCCCGCAGAAUAAUGGGUGACAGAAACCAUUUUUCGUUGAAGUGAAGGGAGCUCGAGGUUUACAGGUCAGCCAGAGAUGCCAAACACAUUCUCUGUCCUGCCAGAACAGAGGAGAGCAUCCAGGAAGCCCAACUGCAGGGGGAGGCAGAGGGGCCCCUGGGCUGAGGAAACUGGGCCUGGCUUCUCUCUGACACGUCGAGAAGAAAGGUCACGGCCGGAGCUGAGCUCUGCUGGAGUAAAAGAGAAGAUGACAGCAUCCAUCACUCCUGGGGUCAAGGAGAGCUCCCCAGGCACACACGUGCAGAAAGACUCCGAGGCGGCAGAAAGGGAGGGGGCGCAAGGUCAUCAUAAGUCCUGAUAGGGUCCUGGCACCCUCUGCUCUGGAAUCCAUCUCUGACAAAAGAUGCGCACGCAUGUUGGGGAGGUCCUGUGUCCAGUCAGGUGUGAGAAUUAAAAAAGAUAACUGGCUACAGACAAAGAUGCGGAAGAACUGUCCUACAUAAGCAAUUUAAAUCGCCUCUCCGGAGCUCUCCUCACUCAGGGACGCCCCUACCCACAUUCCGCUUCAACGGGUGUAUUGCCUCUUUGCUUCUGACUUAAAUAAACUACUUCUCUGCUCUGUGUAGUCACAUGUUAUUACCCUGUGACUCUAACAAUAAACUUUCUACCUGAUUUUACAGUCUUGGCCUCCCUGAAACAUUCUUGCUUUCAACAAGGGGCAAGAAUCAGGGCAAUUCUACUUGUAGCCUCUCGCUAACCUAGCGGCCAGGAUUCCUGGUUUUCACCCAGGCUGCCCAGGUUCAGUUUCUGAGCAGAGAAUAAGCUCUCACUCCAAGCCAUCGCUCACUGCUGUCUCUCCGAGAUCCCAACUGGCCUCCCCCUCUGGGAGGGGCCCAGGCCUGAUCCGAACCUGGCCUUGUGUGUAGCCAGCAAAUCUCUGGCGCACGCUAACGGAUCCUGCCCUAGAAUGCUGUCACAUCUGCCCUGGCUCUUUCAUGAGGUGCUGUGAGAACAUACAAAAGCACCCGGAGCUGGGACUCCAGCAAGCUUGUCUCAGUGGAUUAUCUGGUUUUGUGUCUGCUUGCUAUUUAAAACAAAAAACUUCUGACUAGAGAAAGAUCAAAUUCUAUGACCCGCCCUGCUUUUGCACAGACAGUUUCUGUAGAGUUCCUCAGAAAGCUGAGCCUGUCUCCUCCAUCUUUUGACCUGGGGAACUUCCUUCUCAGCUCCCAACCCGCCCAUCAGAUGGCACCUACUCUAAGAACCGAUGCUUUCCCCAGACCUAGACCAGGCGGGACUCCUGCUACACUCCUGCCACACCUGGACUCUCCUCAGUGCCAUGUUAGGGGGUGAAUCACGCUGUCUUGUAGCUUCUCCAUACUCGUCCAUCUGCCCUUCUCAUCCAUGAGCUCGGAGGGCAGUGACUUUGUCUCGUGUCUGCACCCAGACAUGGGCAGUGGGCCUGCUCCACGACAGGCCCUCUAUAGUGAUGUGUCAGAGACAGGGAGGGAGCCGGGGAGUGUGGGGAAGGAAGGGGGAGGGGAGGGAACGAGGCAGGGGAGGGAGAGGGAAAGGAAGGGAAGAGGGGCGGGAACAAGGGGAAAGAAGGGAGUGGGGGUGGAGGGGGGGAGGGGGAAAGAAUGUAAAAUUUGCCACAUCGAAAAUUUCAUUCCUGAAGUCAGAAGCAGGUGCCUCCAACAACCCACCACCCAAGCGGAUGAGUGUUUCACAUGCUGAGGAAAACCUACCUCCAAGAACAAGGAAGCGGGCAGGGCGCGAGGCUGCCAGGGCAGAGCCAGGCCCUGGGUGAGAGUACGAGCUCCAGCCUCCACGUCACUCUGCCCCCUUGGAGCCAUGUGGCCCCACACAUGCUGUGAGCCUCCCGGAGACUCAGUUUCUUCUUUAUGUAAAAGAGGGGAAUGAUGAGAACAUGCUGGAAAUGACCAUGGCGUGGAGGCCCGAGACGUAAGGAGGAAGCGGGCACCGCAGCCGGGAGGGAGGCGGCCCCCCAGGUCUAAACGCCUCACCUGGCCCUGCAGGCUGGGCAGCCACAGGGCAGAGCCGCUGCCACGUCCCCCGCGGGCAUGCCGCUCCCCCCCGGGUGCUCAGAAGGCGAAGCCGGCUCUUCAAGGCCACAAGCCUUCGGGGGGUGGUCUGCACCCCACUGUGAAUGCACCUCCCCACGUGCACACGACAAAUGGUUAAGGUGGCAAAUUUUGUUAUGUGUAUUUCACCACAGUUAAAAAUAAAAGUUAAAAAAAGAAAAAAGUUGAAAAACAAAAACAAUCAUCAGUUAACAUCUCCUGAGCAUGAUGUCACUGGUUUCACUCGAUGGUCCUGACAUCCCACGGGGGUGGUACAUUAUCUCAAUUUUACACAUAAGAAAGCAGGGGUUCGGAGAGGGUACGGAACUUACCCAAUGUCACAGAGCUGCUGAGGGCAGAGCGGGGCUCACCCCCACAUGGUCUGACUCCAGACACCCUGCUCUCAACCAUGAGCACAAAGCAUUCCGGAAUCCCUCAAGUCCAAGGAGGCACAGCCAGAGUUCUAGAUUUGGAAUCCAAAGACCUGACUUCACUCCCCAGGUCUGCCAUGAGCUGGGUACAGAACCCUGUGCUGAGCCUCAGUUUUCUCUCCCACAAAGUGAAAAGAGGGAGUUCCCUGGUGGCCCAGGGGUUAAGGACUGGGUGGUGUCACUGCUGUGGUGUGGUUUUGAUCCCUGGCCUGGGAACUUCCACACACCCACCCCAGGUGUCAAGAAACAAGAAAGUGAGAAGAAGGCUAUCUACCCUAGUGACCUCAGGAGGCUGGCCAGAGGUGGACAUGAGGGCAACCAAGUGCCAAGCAGACAGCCUCCCACUCCUCGCCCUGCGGUCACAAACUCAGGAGAAGCCACCCGGAGGAACGCAGGGUACAAACGCAUAGGCUGGUGGUUGCCUUGUAUCAAGUGGACUUUUUCCUGUGGAAACUAUGGAAAGAAAAGUCUGAAGAAGCAAAUAAAUCAUCACCUUUAACCCCACUAGCUGUGCAUCGCUGAGAAACUUCCAGAACACCAGCAUGGCCGGAGCAAAACCAGAACGGGCAUGAGCGGCAUGAGAUUAACAGGGAAGAGAAGAAGGUAUCGACGUGGGUCCAGGGCACUGCAGAGACAAGCAGGCACAACACGCGAGAGAAAAACCACAUGAGCCAAAAAUCAGACCCGCCAGAGCAAGGGCAGUUCAUUGUUUGGAGAGAAGCAGUUUAACUCCAACAAAUGUCUGCCACAGGGGCUGGCAAACGACACCCCCGGGGAAAGCCAGCCUGUGGUCUAUUUUAUUGUAAAAACCGUACCUUUUAGGAGGAGGAGGAAGAGUAGGACGGGGAGAAAAAUAAAGAAAGAGCAGAAAGGGAAGACAACCAGGAGAGAGACCCACUCCGAUGCCCAAGAUACUUACCUCUGGGCCUUUGCAAAAAACGUGUGCCCACCUCCAGUUUCUAGUAGAUUAUGGAAAGUUACUAUCCGCGUCCCGUCAUUUGAAGGCAUCAAGAAUUUUGUGCACGUUUUGGAAUGAAAGCAAACACCAGGAAGGAGGGCUGCUCAGGCACCAGGAAGAAAGACACCACGCCGUCCGCACACUGCAGGGGCCCUGUACACAAGCAGGGCGGUACACGCCACACUUGGGCACAGAAGCAGCCAGCAAGGCAGGGACCCAGAGCCUGACAGUUGAGGUCCCAGGAGGAAAGAGCAAAAGGAGAGCUCUGAAGACGCAUCUGCAUCUGCGGGAAGAAAUCCAAGCUUGUUUGCGAACCUCCUGGGUGGACAGAUCAGGUCCCUCACCCCCACUCAUCAGUCAUCAAUGGAAAUUUACCAGCACUGCUUCACCUUCCUCAUUUGCUGUGUGAUCUUGGGCAAGUGACUAAAGCACUCUGUUUCCUCACUCGCAGAGUGAAGAUCGUAACGGCAUCUAGGACUGACAUGAGGAUUAAGUGGACAGCUCCUCAAGUGGAGUAAGCACUAAUAAAAUGGUAGCCCUUUUAAAAAAAAAAAAAAAAAAAAAAAAAAAGU
rnacentral:lncRNA from 1 species